GGAUGCCUACGGGGCGCAGCAGUGGGGGAUAUUGCACAAUGGGGGGAACCCUGAUGCAGCGACGCCGCGUGGGAGAAGAAGCGCCUCGGCGCGUAAAGCCCUGUCAGCAGGGAAGAAAAUGACGGUACCUGAGGAAGAAGCCCCGGCUAACUACGUGCCAGCAGCCGCGGUAAUACGUAGGGGGCAAGCGUUAUCCGGAUUUACUGGGUGUAAAGGGGGCGCAGACGGCGAUGCAAGCCUGGAGUGAAAGCCCGGGGCCCAAC
rnacentral:rRNA from 1 species